rnacentral:tRNA from 1 species
GACUUAUUGUUUGGGAAACCUGUGAUUUUGAAAGUCACUAAAAGACGUUCAACUCGUCUAUAAGUCU